CACCACAUAUACACGCUGAAAAUUUUAAGUUCUGGAAUUGCACUUUAUUUUAAUUUUUUUUUCUAUUUUUCUCUUAAUUCGAAUUUCUCAAGAUUUCCCUAAUUUUACUAAGCCCUAAUUCGAAAUUCUACUUUUCCCCACGUUUUAGAACUGAAGCACUAAUUUCUCACACCAAAUCGUGCAGCUACUCCACGGCGAUCAGGGAAUUGGACGGUGCCGGCUCUGGGUUCGACGGAGCUAGGACUCGCGAAGGCUCUCUGAAUCGAUUCGAUGACGAAGCAGGCUCUUGAGCUUGCCACGAAGCAGGGGAACAGGGCACACGAUGACAGACAGGCUCGCGUCGGCGCCGGCUCUGGGUUCGACAGGGCUGAAGCUCACGAAGGCGCAGGCUCUACGGUUCAUGACGAAAGCAGGCUCUUUAACUCGCGACGAAGCAGGGGAGCAACGACGUAGUGAAUUGGAAUCGACGACAAUCAGGUUCGCAACAAUGUCGGCUCUGGGUUUAUUUUUAGUUAUGGAGUUCAUUGAGUCGACGAUGGAGGACAGAUGCAGGAAUGGGUGUUCUUGGAGCAUGUUGAAUGAGGAAAGUUUCAAAGAAAGGAUGUGAGAGAGAAUCGAGCCCAAAAAUCGAGAAAAGACGAAGAAUUUGAGCUGAAAUCGAGAAGGAGCAAAAUCAGCGGUCAAAGGAGUUGACCGCCGAAUUUCGGCCGUUUGAAGAACAAAAAUGGCGACCAACUCGGCGGCCGCCGAGAUCCCUGGAUGAAUUUUGUGCUUAUGGAGAAAAUUCGGCGACCGCUGAAUUUAUGAUGUUUCAAGGGCAAAUUCGGCGACCUGAUCGGCGACCGCCGAACAGGCCGUCGUUUUGUCCGCGUUUUUCCGCUUUUCAAUGUUAGUUUCGAAUUAAAACUCAGUGUUUUACUCUAAGACUAUAAACAGGUCUUCUUUUGACCUAUCUAGGGUUCCCAGUUUUUGUUUUUCAAUUUCAUAGCUUUAGAAUUCAUUAUUUUUACAGUUUUCAAGGCUUGGAUCAAGAUUGAAGAUUCAAACUGCUACAAUCGUUCUACUUUCGGUUUUUAUACAAUUCAGUUUUUAUAA